GACUUCUGAAAGAUGAGUAUGGACUAGCCAGGCAACUGGGCAUGAGAAAACGGAAGAUUUUAAGCUUCAUGAAGAAGAGAACUUUGUCUUAUUCACUGCUAUAUCCAAGGAAGAAAGAGCAGAUCCCAGCAUUUUGUAAACACCGAAUAAGUAAUCUGUGAAUGAAUAAAUGAACAAAAGCUGA